rnacentral:misc_RNA from 1 species
GGUCGCAAUAUUGACCGGCUGCGCCCAGCAGGUCAUCGAUCCUGACAUCAACGACGCCGCGAUCCGGUUGCUGAAUCGUCACGGUAUCGAGGUGACAAGCCCGCGCGGUGGGGGAUGUUGCGGGGCUCUGGUGCAUCAUAUGGGUUACGAGGAAUCGGCGCUGGGGGCAGCCCGGCGCAACGUCGAUGCCUGGACACGGGAGCUUGACAAGGGCGGGCUCGAUGCCAUCAUCAUCACAGCGUCAGGCUGCGGAACGACUGUUAAAGAUUAUGGAUUCAUGCUUCGCGAGGAUAAGGCAUACGCUCGUAAGGCUGCGCGCAUUUCCGCGCUCGCACAGGAUAUCUCAGAGUAUCUCUAUAAACUUCAGCUUCAGGGGCCC